rnacentral:rRNA from 1 species
GACGAACGCUGGCGGCGUGCUUAACACACGCAAGUCGAACGGAAAGGCCCUGCUUUUGUGGGGUGCUCGAGUGGCAAACGGGUGAGUAACACGUGAGUAACCUGCCCUUGACUUUGGGAUAACUUCAGGAAACUGGGGCUAAUACCGGAUAGGAGCUCCUGCUGCAUGGUGGGGGUUGGAAAGUUUCGGCGGUUGGGGAUGGACUCGCGGCUUAUCAGCUUGUUGGUGGGGUAGUGGCUUACCAAGGCUUUGACGGGUAGCCGGCCUGAGAGGGUGACCGGCCACAUUGGGACUGAGAUACGGCCCAGACUCCUACGGGAGGCAGCAGUGGGGAAUAUUGCACAAUGGGCGGAAGCCUGAUGCAGCAACGCCGCGUGCGGGAUGACGGCCUUCGGGUUGUAAACCGCUUUCGCCUGUGACGAAGCGUGAGUGACGGUAAUGGGUAAAGAAGCACCGGCUAACUACGUG